GUCUUGCUCAGUUGGUAGAGCAUGAUACCAUUAUUAUUAUUGUUGUUGUUGUUGUUGUUGUUCCUGUUAAUCUCAGCGUUGUGGGUUCAAACCCCAUGUUGAGCA